UGGGGUGUAACUCAGACGUAGAGUGCUUGCCUAGCAUGCCUGAGGCCCUGGGUUAAAUCCCCAGCACUGCAA
rnacentral:tRNA from 1 species